CACUGUUGAAGCUGGUGGAUUGAAAUAUUACCGGUAAAUAAAUUGGAUGUGUGGUGUAUAAAUUGUCAUCGUAUAGGAGAUUUUUUUUAAAAAAAACCGGUAAUAUAUUCAUAUUGUUUGAUUUUAUAUGUUUGCGAUUUUCCGAAAUUAUAUUCCGGUAACCGGUUUUAUGAAAAUGGUUCUAACUAAGUCUAUUUCACGAUCCGGAUUUGAACACAUAUUU
rnacentral:lncRNA from 1 species